CCUACGGGAGGCAGCAGUGGGGAAUAUUGGUCAAUGAGAGAGAUCCUGAACCAGCCAAGCCGCGUGAGGGAAGAAGGCCCUAGGGUUUGUAAAUCUUGUUUGUAGGGAAGCAAAACCCGAGACGUGUCCCGUACUACGCGUAUGCUAAGUAAAAACAUAGUCUAGCUACGUUCCAUCAGCCGCGGUAAUACGGAGGAUGCGAGCGUUGUCCGGAUUUAGUGGGUUUAGCGGGUGCGUGGGGGGUCCGUUAAGUCAGCGGUAAAAUUGCGGGGCUCAACCCCGUCGAGCCGUUGAGACUGGCAGACUUGAGUUGGCGAGAGGUACGCGGAAUGCGCGGUGUAGCGGUGAAAUGCAUAGAUAUCGCGCAGAACUCCGAUGGCGAAGGCAGCGUACCGGCGCCAGACUGACGCUGAGGCACGAAAGCGUGGGGAUCGAACAGGAUUAGAUACCCGUGUAGUC
rnacentral:rRNA from 1 species